GUGCUCAUUUCGGGAGCACAUAUACUAAAAUUAGAACAAUACAGAGAAGAUUAGCAUAGCCCCUGUGCAAGGAUGACAUGCAAAUUCAUGAAGCAUUCCAUAUUUUA
ensembl:snRNA U6 U6 spliceosomal RNA